rnacentral:rRNA from 1 species
UACGUAGGGUGCGAGCGUUAAUCGGAAUUACUGGGCGUAAAGCGUGCGCAGGCGGUUAUGCAAGACAGAUGUGAAAUCCCCGGGCUCAACCUGGGAACUGCAUUUGUGUCUGCAUGGCUAGAGUACGGUAGAGGGGGAUGGAAUUCCGCGUGUAGCAGUGAAAUGCGUAGAUAUGCGGAGGAACACCGAUGGCGAAGGCAAUCCCCUGGACCUGUACUGACGCUCAUGCACGAAAGCGUGGGGAGCAAACGGG